rnacentral:tRNA from 1 species
UCUAAUAUGGCAGAUUAGUGCAAUGAAUUUAAGCUUCAUGUAUAAAAAAAUUUUUUUUGUUAGAA